AAGAAUGAGUAGUUCCUAGGAAUUCAUGUGGCUACACACAAGAGAGACCUGCAUGGAAUGGUCUUAGAUCAUGUCCAAAAGAGGUGAGCAGAUCUAAGCAGAGAGCCGCUGGAGAUAGUGCUGGACUCCCAGGACUGGAGGAAAGGAGUAAGAGUCAGCUAAAACAGCUGUGAAAUUGCAGGUGACCCCAUGGUGAUGGAAGGACAUCAAAUAACCCUUGAAAGCAUCACAGAAGAGUCACUUGUGAACAUCUGACAACUUCAGAAAAAGUCAAUGAUAAAAUCAACAAGAGCAGUCUGAGCUGGAGGAGAAAGAGAAGCUUUCAUUUCAAUUGAAAUAUACUUUUACAUGGAACUACA